rnacentral:tRNA from 1 species
GGAGGCGCAAGGGGUCCGGUGGCCCUCCUGGUCUUCAAAACCAGCGUGCUCGCUUCGAGAGGAGCGGCGGAUCGGUUCGACUCCGAUACGCCUCCGCCA